rnacentral:snRNA from 1 species
GGCCACGGAGGGUAGUGCAAACAGACAACGCCCUCGCCUUUUACUAGGGCGUUCCGUGUACUACCUUCACUUCAACGUGGCUUAGGCAAUUUUUCAGGACUCAGCCCUCUCUGAGUA